GGAGGGGCCCCGGGGAGGGGACGGGCGGAGGUGACCCAGGCGGCGCCCAGGGGAGCACGGGACGCCCCCCCUUCCCUUCUCAGGAAACUGUGAGUGCCCCCGGCCCACAGGGCCGUCGCCAGGACGCCCAGGACGGCGCCAACUAGAGCAAAGUGCAACCCCCGGGAAAGGUCUGAACCCAACUUAGAGACCUCCUGUGAGGUUCUUGUGGACAACCAAGACCCUUAAGAGAUGUCUGAGCGUUACACACCAUGUCUGCUGCACAGACGAUCAAAUGAAGUUUUUGAGUUGUGGUGGCUGGGAAGUCCAAGGUGGAGCAGCUGAAUCUGAUGAGGGCUUCAUUCUGGUUCAUAGCUUGGAGAGAAAGUGGACAAGGAGAGAAGGGUCUUGCUCUGUCACCCAGGCUGGAAUGCAAUGGUGUGAUCUCGGC